AUUGAACGCUGGCGGCAGGCCUAACACAUGCAAGUCGAAUGGUAACAGGAAACAGCUUGCUGUUUCGCUGACGAGUGGCGGACGGGUGAGUAAUGUCUGGGAAACUGCCUGAUGGAGGGGGAUAACUACUGGAAACGGUAUCUAAUACCUCAUAACGUCGCAAGACCAAAGAGGGGGACCUUCGGGCCUCUUGCCAUCAGAUGUGCCCAGAUGGGAUUAGCUAGUAGGUGGGGUAACGGCUCACCUAGGCGACGAUCCCUAGCUGGUCUGAGAGGAUGACCAGCCACACUGGAACUGAGACACGGUCCAGACUCCUACGGGAGGCAGCAGUGGGGAAUAUUGCACAAUGGGCGCAAGCCUGAUGCAGACAUGCCGCGUGUAUGAAGAAGGCCUUCGGGUUGUAAAGUACUUUCAGCGGGGAGGAAGGGAGUAAAGUUAAUACCUUUGCUCAUUGACGUUACCCGCAGAAGAAGCACCGGCUAACUCCGUG
rnacentral:rRNA from 1 species